ACCUUAAUGCCAUACUUCCUCUGUGGAAAGUACAUCUCCCUCUUCUUCUCCCUCUCCGUCUUCAAAGAUUGCUACCAUAACACAUAACCCAAGAGCUCAAUGUCAAAAGCAACAUAACAAACACCCUAGAUGCCUAAUUACAUGUCCAAACAAGUAACUUGAAAUGAUGCGACAUUAUCUAAACCCGCUAUGAUCCAUCACGAAAAGCUCAACUAAAAAGUCCGAAUGACUUAAUCCCAAAAUAACUUGAACCCUUAAUUGAUCCAAACUUAAAACUACUUGAACCCGUAAUACCCUAAAUGUUUUAGAACUCAGAUUUACCCAACUUAGAUUGAACCAAUCCAAAACAAACUCAAGCAGCCUAAGUGAUAGGUUUACAAGUAAGUUCAACAUAUCUCCAUGGAAAAGAGAGCACUUCUUAGGACCAUAUAAUUCCACUUCCAUACAUUUUCU
rnacentral:lncRNA from 1 species